AAGAAAGAAAGAAAGAAACAGAUGUUGGACCAUUACCAUUACAUAAUGGUGAAUAAUGGUCGUUACUGUUAUGUAAAGGCCGUUACAGUCUUUACAGUGCAAACAUUUUUUUUGCCUUAAAAUAAUGAGUGUCAUGCCAAUAAGAGACUAUAAACUUGUAAAUAAUGGCCGUUACAUAAUGUAACUAUUGUUAUUUAAACCUAUAGUUGAGUUGGCUUGGGCUGAUCGUCAUAAUUGAUCAUGGUAGAAAGAACAUAUUUGCAAUUUUCUUUUGUUAGUUCGAAAUCUAUCACGAAUUUUGUUCUUUGAUUUUUGUUUUCUUUUCUAAUGUGAUAUCCUAAUUGAAAUAAAUUUUCA
rnacentral:misc_RNA from 1 species